UACGAAGGGGGCUAGCGUUGCUCGGAAUCACUGGGCGUAAAGCGCACGUAGGCGGAUUGCUAAGUCAGGGGUGAAAUCCCGGAGCUCAACUCCGGAACUGCCUUUGAUACUGGCGAUCUUGAGUCCGGGAGAGGUGAGUGGAACUGCGAGUGUAGAGGUGAAAUUCGUAGAUAUCAUUUGGAACGCCAAUGGUGAAAACAGGUAGCUGGGAGUGUGCUGACGCUGAGACACGAAAGCCAGGGGAGCAAACGGG
rnacentral:rRNA from 1 species